AAGACCGUACUUUUUAGGAUCAUUUCUAUAGUACGCGUUCUUCCUUUGCUUCACAGCAAAGCGAAACACAACAGCCUCGAUGAUGAGCUGCAAUGUUUCACUCUGAGCGGGAAGUUCGGUUUCUUGGGAGAUCUCUUUGUAGAUCACCCUCGGACCAUUGAUGACCGUUCCUAACUGGCUUUCAGUGCUGGGGAGGAGGAGUGAAACAUCAGCUGAGUGGC
rnacentral:snoRNA from 1 species